rnacentral:misc_RNA from 1 species
AACGCACGAGACCUGCGGACCUGCGGAGGGAUCAUUACCGAGUUUACAACUCCCAAACCCAAUGUGAACGUUACCAAACUGUUGCCUCGGCGGGAUCUCUGCCCCGGGUGCGUCGCAGCCCCGGACCAAGGCGCCCGCCGGAGGACCAACCAAAAACUCUUCUGUAUACCCCCUCGCGGGUUUUUUAUACCUGAGCCAUCUCGGCGCCUCUCGUAGGCGUUUCGAAAAUGAAUCAAAACU